rnacentral:rRNA from 1 species
UACGGAGGGAGCUAGCGUUGUUCGGAAUUACUGGGCGUAAAGCGCACGUAGGCGGAUCUUUAAGUCAGGGGUGAAAUCCUGGAGCUCAACUCCAGAACUGCCUUUGAUACUGAGGACCUUGAGUUCGGGAGAGGUGAGUGGAACUGCGAGUGUAGAGGUGAAAUUCGUAGAUAUUCGCAAGAACACCAGUGGCGAAGGCGGCUCACUGGCCCAUUACUGACGCUGAGGCACGAAAGCGUGGGGAGCAAACAGGG